CUUUUUUUUUUUUUUUCCCUUUUUGAGAUUAUUACAAGUAAAGAGACUGAAAUUAAGCCAUACCAACAGUGUACCUAGCCAUGCAUGCGACGAGACUACAAGAGAAUCUACAUAAUGGAAAUUUGAUGAAACCAACCAUCAAUACAAGGAUAAAACCAACCAUCCAUAUAAAUAGAAAUGAAUAACUUCCGCAUAAAAAGCUUUUUUAAAACACAACUCAACUUUUUGAAGCAAGCAAAAAUAUUAAUCUUGACCAAGAUGCGGAAUGGUUACAUGAUCACAACAAAUAAUGGAAAUUUGAUGAUGCAUGCAAAAGAAAUAUCUAUUAAAGGAACUUAGUCUGCAUGUAUCUAUGGUACAUAUUACACAAUCAUAUUUCCUAUCUCUCUGUCAGUUGAAGCUAUAAAGAAUGUAACCAUGUCAUUUCAUAUCCAAGGCAGUUUUUCUUUUUUCGGGGUAAUAAAACAGACUGAUUACAAGCAUGCAUUGAUUCAUGAAGAGUUGUCGCACUAGUUUGGAGGAAAUUUCGUUUCACUUGAAGAAAAAAGUACCUAAGCCAAGACAAUUUAGCCACUGAUAACAAACCUUUUUAGGGCUAUAAUUUGUGUCAAACACAUCAAGGCCACAUUCCAAAGGCCAAGGCAAAUACUCUUAACAAAGUGGCUCAUAUAACCUAUGGUAAUUACCCAUAUGAAAGUUGGUGUCAAUGGUAAAAACCCAUCGUGAUGUGUGCCAAUAUCCAAUACUACUACACUACUACCAACCAUUCAAUGACAGUUGAAAAACAUUUGCAUAUGAUACACUAGGGAGGAGACUUACUGACUUAGUUGAACAAUCAUGUUUUUGAACCAUCAGUGAUGGUUAGAACUUUCAUAACACACAUAGAUUAACAAAUGCAAAAUUUGGAGCCAGCCACCAAAUUCACUUUUCAAAUCAUGAAAGCAAAAAAAUAAUGUUGGUUGAGGCACAUAACACAAAUUCAUGACAUGACAGUAAUCAGUUAAAGGCAGAAUUAGGUCCAAAAAGGACAGAAGAUGUACCUGACACCAGCAUCACCAACAAUU
rnacentral:misc_RNA from 1 species